GCUGAGGCCGCCACCCGGGGCCAGCACCAGUCUGUGACCAGGGCCCGGGCGCUCUGGCUCGGCCGUCCGAGCCCUCACCCCAGGGGCUAACAAGCG